UCUACGGGAGGCAGCAGUGAGGAAUAUUGGUCAAUGGACGCAAGUCUGAACCAGCCAUGCCGCGUGCAGGAAGACGGCUCUAUGAGUUGUAAACUGCUUUUGUACGAGGGUAAAUCCCGAUACGUGUAUCGGGUUUAAAGUAUCGUACGAAUAAGGAUCGGCUAACUCCGUGCCAGCAGCCGCGGUAAUACGGAGGAUUCAAGCUUUAUCCGGAUUUAUUUGGUUGAAAGGGUGCGUAGGCGGUUCGUUAAGUUAGAGGUGACAUCCCGGGGCUCAACUCCGGCACUGCCUCUGAUACUGUCGGGCUAGAGUUUAGUUGCGGUAGGCGGAAUGUAUGGUGUAGCGGUGAAAUGCAUAGAGAUCAUACAGAACACCGAUUGCGAAGGCAGCUUACCAAACUACGACUGACGUUGAGGCACGAAAGCGUGGGGAGCAAACAGGAUUAGAUACCCCUGUAGUC
rnacentral:rRNA from 1 species